GGCAGGAGUAAGGGAAGACUCCCCUGCCGAGGAGGCCCAGGCUUGCUGCAAGGGGAGGGCAAGCAAGGACUGGCAUGGGGACCCUGCCAGCAUCUGACAGGAUCUAGAAUUUAAUCCCCACCACUCCCAAGAGACUAGUCCAGGUGCUGACGUUGAGGCUGUUCAUCUCUGAGUCCACCCAGCUGGAGCCUAGCUCUGUCCAUGCACAUCCUCACAAGGAAUAAGCUGAUGUUGUUCCACUGUGGUCAGAGAAACAAGGAUGUAACACCAGCGGAGGGACUGGCCUUCAUCAUUUAAAUGACUCUCAGUUGAAUUAGUUUAAUUAUAAUCAUUUUUAGAGCUGAAAAUGAACCACUCUCUAAAGAGUUAAAUAUAAAGAUAAGUACAAAAGGUA